rnacentral:rRNA from 1 species
GUCUUUUUGAUUAUAAUUUAAAGUCUAACCUGCCCACUGAAUUUUUUGAAGGGCCGCGGUAUUUUGACUGUGCAAAGGUAGCAUAAUCAUUAGUCUUUUAAUUGGAGGCUUGUAUGAAUGGUUGGAUGAGGUAUUAACUGUCUCAAUUUAAUAAGUAAUAGAAUUUUAUUUUUAAGUUAAAAAGCUUAAAUUUAAUUAAAAGACGAGAAGACCCUAUAGAUCUUUAUAAUUUAUUUUAUAAUAAUUUUUUAGGUAAAAUUUAUUUUUAUAUAAUUAAUUAUUUUAUUGGGGUGAUAAAAAAAUUUAUAAAACUUUUUUUGUAUAUAAACACUGAUAUUUGAUUAAUUGAUCCAUUUUUUGUGAUUAUAAGAUUAAGUUACCUUAGGGAUAACAGCGUAAUUUUUUUGGAGAGUUCUUAUCGAUAAAAAAGAUUGCGACCUCGAUGUUGAAUUAAAGGUUAAUUUUAGGUGUAGAAGUUUAAAAUUUUGGUCUGUUCGACCAUUGAAUC